rnacentral:rRNA from 1 species
AGAGUUUGAUCCUGGCUCAGAACGUACGCUGGCGGCACGCCUAACACAUGCAAGUCGAACGAGUAGCAAUACUAGUGGCAGACGGGUGAGUAACAUGUAGGUAUCUGCCCUUUGGCCUGGAAUAACACGAGGAAACUUGUGCUAAUACCGGAUAAGUCUUUACGGAGAAAGCUUUAUGCACCAUUGGAUGAGCCUGCACUUGAUUAGUUUGUUGGUGGGGUAAUGGCCUACCAAGACUGUGAUCAAUAGCUGAUUUGAGAGGAUGAUCAGCCACAUUGGGACUGAGACACGGCCCAAACUCCUACGGGAGGCAGCAGUGGGGAAUCUUGCACAAUGGAGGAAACUCUGAUGCAGCGAUGCCGCGUGAGUGAAGAAGGCCCUUGGGUUGUAAAGCUCUUUCGUCGGGGAAGAAAAUGACUGUACCCGAAUAAGAAGGUCCGGCUAACUUCGUGCCAGCAGCCGCGGUAAUACGAAGGGACCUAGCGUAGUUCGGAAUUACUGGGCUUAAAGAGUUCGUAGGUGGUUGAAAAAGUUGGUGGUGAAAUCCCAGAGCUUAACUCUGGAACUGCCAUCAAAACUUUUCAGCUAGAGUUUGAUAGAGGAAAGCAGAAUUUCUAGUGUAGAGGUGAAAUUCGUAGAUAUUAGAAAGAAUACCAAUUGCGAAGGCAGCUUUCUGGAUCAUUACUGACACUGAGGAACGAAAGCAUGGGUAGCGAAGAGGAUUAGAUACCCUCGUAGUCCAUGCCGUAAACGAUGUGUGUUAGACGUUGGAAAUUUAUUUUCUGUGUCGCAGCGAAAGCGAUAAACACACCGCCUGGGGAGUACGACCGCAAGGUUAAAACUCAAAUGAAUUGACGGGGACCCGCACAAGUAGUGGAGCAUGUGGUUUAAUUCGAAGAUACGCGCAGAACCUUACCAACACUUGACAUGUUCGUCGCGACUUUAAGAGAUUAAAGUUUUCGGUUCGGCCGGACGAAACACAGGUGCUGCAUGGCUGUCGUCAGCUCGUGUCGUGAGAUGUUGGGUUAAGUCCCGCAACGAGCGCAACCCUCACUUUUAGUUGCCAUCAUUUAGUUGGGCACUCUGAAAGAACUGCCAGUGAUAAGCUGGAGGAAGGUGGGGAUGACGUCAAGUCCUCAUGGCCCUUACGUGUUGGGCUACACACGUGCUACAAUGAUAUCUACAACAGGAAGCAAAACGGCGACGUUAAGCAAAUCCUCAAAAGAUAUCUCAGUUCGGAUUGCACUCUGCAACUCGAGUGCAUGAAGCUGGAAUUACUAGUAAUCGUGGAUCAGCGUGCCACGGUGAAUGCGUUCCCGGGUCUUGUACACACCGCCCGUCACACCAUGGGAGUUGGUUCUACCUUAAGGCAAGGUUUAACACCCUUGACCACGGUAUAGUCAGCGACUGGGGUGAAGUCGUAACAAGGUAACC